rnacentral:tRNA from 1 species
GCCUGGGUGGCUCAGUCGGUUAAGCGUCCGACUUCAGCUCAGGUCAUGAUCUCACGGUCCGUGAGUUCGAGCCCCGCCUCAGGCU